GACCCGAAAUCCCACAUGGAAUAGUGUGUUCACAUUCCGAGUGACACGUGCUUGUCAGAUGAAAAUUCUGGUUUACGAUGAGAAUCGUCUGCGAAAAGAUGUCCUUAUGGGAUUUGUGAGCAGAACGCUGAACGAUGGGCUCAUCACGACACAGGCACCGAAUCCAGAAGAAUACGCGUUACAGUCGGGCACCGCGUCCAAGGGAAA
rnacentral:sRNA from 1 species